CCUACGGGAGGCAGCAGUAAGGAAUAUUGGUCAAUGGACGCAAGUCUGAACCAGCCAUGCCGCGUGGAGGAUGAAGGUCCUCUGGAUUGUAAACUUCUUUUAUCUGGGACGAAAAAAGGGAAUUCUUUCUCGUCUGACGGUACCAGAUGAAUAAGCACCGGCUAACUCCGUGCCAGCAGCCGCGGUAAUACGGAGGGUGCAAGCGUUAUCCGGAUUCACUGGGUUUAAAGGGUGCGUAGGCGGGUAUGUAAGUCCGUGGUGAAAUCUCCGAGCUUAACUCGGAAACUGCCAUGGGUACUGCGUAUCUUGAAUGUUGUGGAGGUGAGCGGAAUAUGUCAUGUAGCGGUGAAAUGCUUAGAUAUGACAUAGAGCACCAAUUGCGAAGGCGGCUCACUACACAAAUAUUGACGCUGAGGCACGAAAGCGUGGGGAUCAAACAGGAUUAGAUACCCUGGUAGUCCACGCCCUAAACGAUGAUUACUCGACAUACGCGAUACACAGUGUGUGUCUGAGCGAAAGCAUUAAGUAAUCCACCUGGGAAGUACGACCGCAAGGUUGAAACUCAAAGGAAUUGACGGA
rnacentral:rRNA from 1 species